rnacentral:lncRNA from 1 species
UUCCAAACUUUCUCCAAUUAGUUUUUUUAUUAUAGAAAUUGUUAAUUCUAUUUAAAAUUUCUUUUUAGCUUAAGAUGAGAAGAAAAUAGGCUUAAUUGUAGAAAAAUAUUGUAGAAUAUUUCACUUAGAAGUUCCAGGACUAAUCUCAUGCUAUUCCUACUUUUUGCAUAUAAAUGUUGAUUGCAGUUUCUUUAUUUACAACACUUAGGUAGAAUAUUCAUGCUUGUGGUAUUGAGCAACUGUUUGAACUCUUUGUGCCUGUUGCCAACUCCCAUGGAUUCUAUGACAAUAAAGAUCAUGUCUUGUAUGUCUUUGUAUCUCUUAUAGCAAAAUAGAUCUCAGUUCUAUGGAAGAUACAAAUUAAGGGUUUGAGAUAGCAGAGUAAGAGCAUGUAGUAGACGGGAAAUAUACAUGUAGUCCAGGUCAGGCUUAUAGAGAAAGUGGCUCAAUGAGCCAGGGAUUCAAUAAGAAGGACUAAAUAUUAUUUGGUAAUGAGUGGCUGGCAA